rnacentral:misc_RNA from 1 species
GGUGGGAUUAUGUCACUGACUUUUCAAUCCGUUGUCCUAUGAAAGAAAACAAGUACGACGAGGAAUGUGCCAAUGAAGUUAUUAAAUCGUUUGGUAUGGAUCUUAACAAGAUAAAAGAAUGUAUUGGAGAUCCAGAGGCAGAUGUGGAGAACCCAAUUCUUAAAGCUGAACAGGAUGCACAGAUUGGUAGGGGUUCCCGUGGAGAUGUUACUAUAUUGCCGACUCUUGUUAUAAAUAACAGACAGUAUAGAGGCAAGCUGGAUAAAGGAGCAGUUCUGAAAGGCAUUUGUUCUGGUUUUCAGGAGACAACAGAGCCUGCAAUUUGUUUAACUGAA